AUACGGAGGAUGCAAGCGUUAUCCGGAUUCAUUGGGCUUAAAGGGUGCGUAGGCGGCUUGGUAAGUCAGCGGUGAAAUUCCAGUGCUCAACAUUGGCCGUGCCGUUGAUACUGCUGGGCUUGGAUGCGGAUGCCGUGGGAGGAAUGUGUGGUGUAGCGGUGAAAUGCAUAGAUAUCACACAGAACACCGAUUGCGAAGGCAUCUCACGAAUCCGCAAUUGACGCUGAGGCACGAAAGUGUGGGGAUC
rnacentral:rRNA from 1 species